CCUACGGGAGGCAGCAGUAAGGAAUAUUGGUCAAUGGACGAAAGUCUGAACCAGCCAUGCCGCGUGAAGAUGAAGGUCCUCUGGAUUGUAAACUUCUUUUAUCUGGGACGAAAAAAGGGAAUUCUUUCUCACUUGACGGUACAGAAGAAUAAGCACCGGCUAACUCCGUGCCAGCAGCCGCGGUAAUACGGAGGGUGCAAGCGUUAUCCGGAUCACUGGGUUUAAAGGGUGCGUAGGUGGGCAGUUAAGUCAGUGGUGAAAUCUCCGGGCUUAACCCGGAAACUGCAUUGAUACUAUAAGUCUUGAAUUAUAUGGAGGUAAGCGGAAUAUGUCAUGUAGCGGUGAAAUGCUUAGAUAGACAUAGAACACCGAUUGCGAAGGCAGCUUACUACGGAGUCAUUGACACUGAGGCACGAAAGCGUGGGGAUCAACAGGAUUAGAUACCCUGGUAGUCACGCCCUAAACGAUGGAUACUCGACAUUUGCGAUACACAGUAAGUGUUGAGCGAAAGCAUUAAGUAUCCCACCUGGGAAGUACGAUCGCAAGAUUGAAACUCAAAGGAAUUGACGGA
rnacentral:rRNA from 1 species